GGCCUUCGAAUGACAGACUUAAUUAUUUCGAUGACACUUCUCUUUCUCCAGUGGAAGACGGGAAUGACAGUAUGACCUGCAUAUUACCUCCCCUUCCUUCCUCCCUUCCCUCCGCCCGCCUCCCUCUGGUUGCGUUUGUGGACGUCACCCGUCGCCUCAGGAAGAAAACAGGAGCUAUCAAGGGUCUCGGCCCAGGAGGCCUUCCCAGCUCUACUUGGGUGGGGGCAGCUAUUCCAGCCUACCAGAACUCAACUGGCAACUGUCACCCUGAGGACCUUUUCAUUGGCUACCCCAAUGUUGCAAAACAUGAUACCCUCUCCCAAUGGUUUGUAGCUUCCCAAGGGCAUCAGAAUAAAAAUAUAAUUUUUAUCCCUUAAAAAAGUCUUUAUUCUUCUACAAUUACAGGGAAGAAGGAUACCAGCAGCAAACCAGCAGCAACGCCCACCCGAAAGCUAAAUUGUUUCAAAACCUUAAUAAAAUGUAUCCUUUGU
rnacentral:lncRNA from 11 species